GACGAACGCUGGCGGCGUGCUUAACACAUGCAAGUCGAACGGAAAGGCCCUGCUUUUGUGGGGUGCUCGAGUGGCGAACGGGUGAGUAACACGUGAGUAACCUGCCCUUGACUUUGGGAUAACUUCAGGAAACUGGAGCUCUUACCGGAUAGGAGCUCCUGCUGCAUGGUGGUGGUUGUAAAGUUUCGGCGGUUGGGGAUGGACUGGCGGCUUAUCGGCUUGUUGGUGGGGUGGUGGCUUACCAAGGCUUUGACGGGUAGCCGGCCUGCGAGGGUGACCGGCCACAUUGGGACUGCGAUACGGCCCAGACUCCUACGGGAGGCAGCAGUGGGGAAUAUUGCACAAUGGGCGGAAGCCUGAUGCAGCAACGCCGCGUGCGGGAUGACGGCCUUCGGGUGGUAAACCGCUUUCGCCUGUGACGAAGCGUGAGUUACGGUAAUGGGUAAAGAAGCACCGGCUAACUACGUU
rnacentral:rRNA from 1 species